GGUUCAAGCUGUCGAUCUUUACAAAGAAAAUAAACAACAUCGUCCUUUCGGCUCUUCUGCUGCCACUCCGGCUCCAUCUCCUGCACUGGCUCUGGCCGUCGCUGCUGAUUCCCAGGAGACCUUUCACACAGACAUUUCAUCGAGCACCUUCAUCAAUAACAGCAUCCCAAUCAGUAGCUCCAUCUUUAAGAAACUGCUUCAUAUCCCGAUCUACCUGUUCUGAUGGUCAAAGAAAAGAGGAUGAAUGGUGAGGUUGGAGGUUAUGCCUGUUCUUGUCCGGUCAGACUGAUUUUCCAUUUCCAAAAGAGAAAACGAAACAAAGAUGUUAAGGUGGUCAUCAAUGAUGUAGUUAAUUGAGGCUAUUGAAUGGGGAGUUCCAAUCAAGAAAAAAAAACAUAACCGAUUAAUUAAUUAAACCAAAUAAAUAAUAAAAAAGAAAUAGAGAAGGAGCAUCCACCACACCUUUGGAUACCUCCCAUACCCAAUGGUCUUAUACAAUUCUCAUUCAUAUUCAAUGCUUCCACCGGCAUGGGAGGAAAUGUUGUUGAGCGUGUGA
rnacentral:lncRNA from 1 species